GAGUAGCUCAGUCAGUAGAGCAUGGGACUCUUAAUAUCAGGGCCGUGGGUACAUGUCCCAUGUUGGGCA